AGGGAGUUAGUCCAAUACAAGACCUCUGAUUUCGGCUCAGAAAAUUAUGGUUCAACUCCAUGACCCCCUU
rnacentral:tRNA from 1 species